rnacentral:rRNA from 1 species
GCGUAGGAAUCUACCUGGUAGUGGGGGAUAGCCCAGAGAAAUUUGGAUUAAUACCGCAUACGCCCUACGGGGGAAAGGAGGGGAUCUUCGGACCUUUCGCUAUCAGAUGAGCCUGCGUGAGAUUAGCUAGAUGGUGGGGUAAUGGCCUACCAUGGCGACGAUCUCUAGCUGGUUUGAGAGGAUGAUCAGCCACACUGGGACUGAGACACGGCCCAGACUCCUACGGGAGGCAGCAGUGGGGAAUAUUGCACAAUGGGCGCAAGCCUGAUGCAGCCAUGCCGCGUGUGUGAAGAAGGCCUU